rnacentral:rRNA from 1 species
UGGGGAAUAUUGCACAAUGGGCGCAAGCCUGAUGCAGCCAUGCCGCGUGUGUGAAGAAGGCCUUCGGGUUGUAAAGCACUUUCAGCGGGGAGGAAGGCGAUAAGGUUAAUAACCUUGUCGAUUGACGUUACCCGCAGAAGAAGCACCGGCUAACUCCGUGCCAGCAGCCGCGGUAAUACGGAGGGUGCAAGCGUUAAUCGGAAUUACUGGGCGUAAAGCGCACGCAGGCGGUCUGUCAAGUCGGAUGUGAAAUCCCCGGGCUCAACCUGGGAACUGCAUUCGAAACUGGCAGGCUAGAGUCUUGUAGAGGGGGGUAGAAUUCCAGGUGUAGCGGUGAAAUGCGUAGAGAUCUGGAGGAAUACCGGUGGCAAAGGCGGCCCCCUGGACAAAGACUGACGCUCAGGUGCGAAAGCGUGGGGAGCAAACAGG